AAAAACUUACACCAAGAAAAGGUGGCUGCUUGGGCUGAUUUUGAUAUAUAGGAAUCCACAAAUUGGCAGACAACUUGGGAGAAAAAUUGACACACAUGGAAAAGGCUGCCUUGGGAAAUUGAUUAUAUACCUUAAAAGACGGCUGCAGGGAGAGACACCCGCAAUAAGAGAAGAAAGGCUGGAGGAAAUUUGGUGGCUACUGCUGGAACGCGUACUAAUACAUCCCGGACAACAGAAAUUAUGAAAGACGCUGGAAGUAGACUUCUCUAUCAAUAAAGGCAGCGACUAAAUUGGGCUGAAAAUUGGAAAUUUUUAUAAUGUUUCGUCAAUUUUUGGUGAUCUCUUUUCUCUUUUAUGUGUUUAAUUUCAAUAUCAAGUUAAGCUAAUUCCUUUCAUAUAUUGAAUGAGGUGAACCCUAUUUUUAUUUGUUUUUAAUUCAAGACAAGUAAUUUAGUUUAAUUAUUGUAUUUGUUGAUUAAUUUUGCUUACCCAUUGCAUUAUUUAAUUGAUUGGCCACCAAUUAGAUAAUUAGUUACUUGUUGUAGUGUUGAGAGACUCAUAAUAAGUUUAGAACGCGGAAAAAUUAACAUGUGUAGUUAGAAUUAAGAAUAAUCUCUUUCACAUAUGCAAUCACUUAGAUAACCAAAACUAAAUGCGUGAUUUUCAUAUGAAUUCGGACUAGUAGUAUGAUCGAGUCGUGUUAAUCAUAGGUUCGUGUGUCUUGUAAAAGAGCAUUGAAUAAAUUAGCGCUAUCAAUUGUCAAACCACAUGAAUGGAAUUAGAUUACGAAUCACGAAUUGAAACAGAUAGCAAUAGGCAAAGUCGAAAUCCAAUACAAUUCUCCAUAACUUGACAAAAACCCAACCUUUCCAUAUUUCUUAGUUUAGUUUAGUAUAAAUAAAAUUUAAAAAAAAAUUCACUUUUGUUUUUCUUAAUUCGAAUUUAGUAGUAACUAAUAAACUAGAAUUAAAAUUUAUUCUUUGUGGGACGAUAAUUUUUAACUCAUCAUAUCUACUACUCGUCAACGAUCCCGUACGCUUGCGGAUUUUUACAAACAAGUUUUUGGCGUCGUUGUCGAUGAAUAAUUUAUUUAAUUUGAGUUUAUUGCUUAUUUUUAGAUUUGAAGUUUUUUUUAACUCCUUUUUCUUUUUUUCUUUACUUUAUUUGUUUUAGGCUAUUUAUCGAACGAUUUAAGUCCCUCGUUUCGCUAUUUUCAGGAAAUCACGAUUUAUGCAAAAUUCUGACGAGAUCGAGCUUCUUCUAAUAGAUCCCGAAAUCGAAAGAACUUUCAGACAACGAAGAAGAGAACAAAGACAAGUGAGAGAAAUGACAGAAAAUCAACAUCUGAAUCAAGUUCAAAAUCCUUUACCAUUACCUCAACCAGAUCAACCAAGGGCAGUAGCAAAUCAAGGAGAAGCUUUUAGUGAGGGAUUAUGUAAAUCCCGUGCAAGCCCCUGUGUAAUCAACUAUUAUUUAUCCAUCUUUUGGGCAGGCCAACUUCCAUAUUAGACUUGAUAUUAUCAACUUGUUCCAGAAUCAUCAAGAUAUCAGAUUCUCUGGAAGAUUAAUCGAAAACCCUCAUGAACAUAUUCAAGUCUUCUUGAUGCUCUGCGAUAUGAUUAGCUAUGAAAGAAUGUCUGUGGAUGCUUUUCGACUAUGCCUAUUUCCUCACACGUUAAAAGAGAGCACAAGAGAAUGGCUAAAUUCCUUAACUCAUAGGAGCAUCGUUUCAUGGAAUGACAUGGUGUAGAAGUUUACAUUGAAAUUUUUUCCGCCAUCUCAAGUCCAUCAUAUUCAAAUUGAAGUCCAUACUUUCAAGCAAAAGGACCUCGAAAGCUAUCCAGAAGCAUGGGAAAGAUUCAAAGAGUAUUUUAGGAAGUGCCCUACUCUGAAUAUUCCUAAAGAAUAAAAAAUAUGCCUAUUCUAUUCAGGUUUGAGACCUGAAUUUUGCAACAAUGUAGAUGCAUCUACAGGAGGGUCAAUAUUGGAUAUUCCGUUGGAUAAUGCCUUGGAACUUUUUGAGGGAAUUGCAUAAAAUCAAUCGAUGUGGCCAAGCGAUAGGGAAGUCCAGAGGAAAACAACUGGUAUAUAUAAUGUGGAUGUAGUGACAACAUUGACAGAAUGGAUGGAGGCAAUAACUAGAAAGCUCGACAAUUUGACAUAUUCUGUGAAUACGGUACAAACUCUAGCUCCGAAAUGUGCAGGUUGUGGGGCAGAUCACAUUACUGCAAGUUUCCCUUUAGCUUCUACUCACAUAAGUCAGCCAACAGAGGUUAGUUAUACGCAGAACUAUCAGAGGCAAAAUGGACCUUACCCAUACAACUACCAUCCGAGUUCGAACAAGCAUCCUAACUACGCGUGGGUUGAUAAUUCAGAUCAAGUAAAUCAGAUAAGGGGUAUUUCACCAACGAUUCAGCAACAAGAAGAAAAGAGGUAAUCAUUGGAGGAUCUACUUGUCAAGUACGUCACCAAGACUGAGACGGUGAUGUAGAAUCAGCAAGCCUCUAUACAUAACUUAGAGAAACAUGUGAGAUAGAUAGCGGCUGCAUUAGCCAACAGAGCACAAGGAACUUUGCCGAGCGAUAUAGAAAAGAACCCAAAGGAGCAAGUAUUAGCAAUUGAAGCUGUGAAUUAUGCAACUAUCGAGACACCAUCGAUUAAGCCUGCUACACCUAUUCGAGCUUAUGUGCCGCCUAUCUCAUUCCCUCAAAGACUUCAAAUACAACCUAAAAAUGAACAAGUCCAGGCUAUCACAACGAGAAACGGAGUUCAGCUGCCGGAAAUCACAAUGAAGAAAAAGAGGAUUGAAGAGAAUCGAGUUCCUACCUCGGGGGAAGAACAAGUGGGUCAAUUUGAAAAAUAAUCAAAUGUUAAUAAAAAAGAACAGUCAGACAAUCCACAGGUCAAGGCAACCGUUAUUGACAAUAAACACACACCUUUAGUUCUAUUCCUUCAAAGGUUGCAAAACAAUAAACUAGACAAACAAUUUCUUGAACAACCUCGGACAACUUCACAUCAACAUUCCUUUUAUUGGCGCUAUUCUACAAAUUCUAAAUUAUGCUAAGUUUUUGAAGGAGAUGUUGAUUGAGAAGAGAAAGCUGCUAGAACAUGAAACAAUAGCACUAUUUGAAAAGUGCAGUGCGAUCAUCCAGCACAGGAUCCCUCCCAAACUUAAAGAUCCAGAGAGUUUCACUAUACCUUGCUCCAUAGGAAAUUUAAAUUAUUUAAAUUGUUUAAUUGAUUCAGGAGCGAGUAUUAAUUUAAUUCUCUUACCUCUUUACAGGAAACUGGGAUUAGGAGAUUGUAACAACCCAGGUCUCUGUACUUAAGUCGUUAGCUUAUGUACUGUCCACUUUGGGUGAGCCUUGCGCCCUCAUGGCUUGCUGUCGCGUCCUCCAAGAUUUGAACUCAUAACAUUUCCCUUAAGUUAGAUUUAAAUUAAAUCCUGGUACUAAUUAGAGAUGUGAUAGAAAGCCGUGUGGGCGUAAGGCCCACCCAAAGCGAACAAUACGUAAACUAACGGCUUGGGUACAGAGACCCAGGUCGUUACAAAAAAUACGCAUUUUUUGUAACGACCCGGAUCUCUGUACCCAAGCCGUUAGUUUACAUAUUGUCCGCUUUGGGUAUGCUUUGCCCCUCACGACUUUCUGUCGCUUCCCCUAAGAUUCGAACCUAUAAUUUUUCCCUUAAGUAAGACUUUAGUUGAAUCUUGGGAGACGCGACAAAAAGUCGUGAGGGGUAAGUGGGUGCAAGACCCACCCAAAGUGGACAGUACGUAAGCUAACGACUUGGGUACAGAGACCCGGGUCGUUACAGAGAUCCUAAGGUUGCAUCUAUUAUCCUUCAACUUGCGGACCGAUCACUAAUAUACCCUUACAGAAUAGUCGAAGACAUGCUUAUCAAGGCGGGAAAGUUUAUUUUUUCUAGCUGACUUCAUCAUCCUCGACAUAAAAGAGGCAUAUCAGAUGCCAAUAAUCUUGGAAAUGUCAUUCUUGUCUACAAGCCGAGCCUUGUUGGAUUUUGAUACUAAUGAGAUAGUCUUGAGGGUAAAGUUUCACCAUGGAGAAUCUAAUCAAGCAACCAUCAUACUUUGAGGAUUGUUAACGAGUAGAUCAUUGGAAAAACUACAAAGAUAGGCCAAAUGAGGGACGAAUUAUUGGUAGGGACAACAAUGGAAAGAUGAUUGUUUGGAAAGUCAAGGAAGUGCAACCAGUGCAUAAAGUGCAGGGCUGAAAACUCACUCUUUAAGCCACCAUGAAUAGUCAAAAACAAUAAAGUCCAGCUAAAGAUUAUAAAUUAAGCGCUUAUUGGGAGGCAACCCAAUUUCUUAACCAUUUUUUUUUACAUCACAUUGCAUGUAGAUUUGUUUUGAUUAUUAGUUUGCAUUAGAUUUAGGCACGUUUAAUUUUAUAGAGUAUCAUCAUUCGAUCACGUUUUCAUUGAGACCCUUAAAUUUAAUGUUGGUUAUUUCGAGUGCUUGUGUUAGUAACACAUGUUCUAGAUUAUUUGAUGUCUAAUGCUUGAUUUGAUUGUCAUAUGCAGGAACAUAACGUCGUGGAACACUCAAACUAAUAUAGACCAAGGAAAAAAGCAUGAUGAGGAAGAUUGUUUGGCCGUCACUCAUAGUCACGUCCACGCCCAACAGAAAUAUUCG
rnacentral:lncRNA from 1 species